GACGAACGCUGGCGGCAUGCUUAACACAUGCAAGUCGAACGGAAAGGCCCUGCUUUUGUGGGGUGCUCGAGUGGCGAACGGGUGAGUAACACGUGAGUAACCUGCCCUUGACUUUGGGAUAACUUCAGGAAACUGGGGCUAAUACCGGAUAGGAGCUCCUGCUGCAUGGUGGGGGUUGGAAAGUUUCGGCGGUUGGGGAUGGACUCGCGGCUUAUCAGCUUGUUGGUGGGGUAGUGGCUUACCAAGGCUUUGACGGGUAGCCGGCCUGAGAGGGUGACCGGCCACAUUGGGACUGAGAGACGGCCCAGACUCCUACGGGAGGCAGCAGUGGGGAAUAUUGCACAAUGGGCGGAAGCCUGAUGCAGCAACGCCGCGUGCGGGAUGACGGCCUUCGGGUUGUAAACCGCUUUCGCCUGUGACGAAGCGUGAGUGACGGUAAUGGGUAAAGAAGCACCGGCUAACUACGUG
rnacentral:rRNA from 1 species